UACGAAAGGGGCUAGCGUUGUUCGGAAUUACUGGGCGUAAAGCGCACGUAGGCGGCCUUGUAAGUUGGGGGUGAAAUCCCCGGGCUCAACCCGGGAACUGCCUUCAAGACUGCAAAGCUCGAGGAUGCGAGAGGUUAGCGGAAUUCCGAGUGUAGAGGUGAAAUUCGUAGAUAUUCGGAAGAACACCAGUGGCGAAGGCGGCUAACUGGCGCAUUUCUGACGCUGAGGUGCGAAAGCGUGGGGAGCAAACAGG
rnacentral:rRNA from 1 species